GUGUUUUAUAUGUUCGUUCAUGGGUAUUCUUUCAUUUUUCCGACUGUAUCAUGAAGCAUAUUAUGAUAUAGGUGUUGCAAUUUUUAUUAAUAUAUUAAAGCAGAGGUCACCAAUUGGCCGACAGCGGUCCGCAUCCGGACCGUAGGAUAGUUUUGUGCGGACCGCCUUAAAUUGAGAAUAUAAUGUUUGGCAAUAAUUUAGAAAAUGUUUGGCCAUGAAGUUGUGUACUAUGUUUGGCUUAUCUUAUGUGUGCGAAGCCGCCUUUUCAAGAAUGAACUUUAUUAAAAAUAGGUACAGAUCUCAGCUAACAGAUGACUAUCUCAACUCCCUAAUGAGAAUCAGUUGCACUAAACUCAAUCUAAACUUCAGACAGGUUGCACAUAAUAAAAAAGUCAUUCUUACUGAGAAUUUAAUUUUGUAAAGGGAUUUCCCCUAAUUGUUAUACUUAAUGUGAUGUAAAAUUGUCGUUUUUUUAUAUUCAUUUCUUCUCUAUAUGUUAAGUGGGGGUAUUGUUCAGCUAUGCAUUUAUUAAAAUAGUUUUCAGAUCUUAUAUAAGUUUGCAAGAAACAGCUUGCAUUGAAACUUGAAACUAAUGUAGAAAAUAUAACACGUUAUUUACGAUUUUUUACUAUGAUUAUUUAUGUUAAAUUUCUCAGUUUCAAUAGCUGGAUUUAACUCUAAUAACUAUGUUCAAAAGUGAAGGUGUCUAAAAACUUAAGAAAGACGUCACUAACAUUCAAAAUAUAAAUUCCUAACUGUUAGGUACAAUUUUCUCAGUAACAAUAAUUACAAUACUGCUCUGUUCAAAAUGUACUGUAAUAAUAUCAAAACAAAACACAAUGAAUAAAUUCAUAUUCUCCAUUCAAAAAAGAUCUGUCAUUUUUAUCAAAAGUUGAUAGAUUUCGAGUUUUAAACGAUUUAAAAUUUGAAAAAUGCGAAAUACGCAUUUUUGAGGCCUAAAAAACUCAUAUGUAAAUUAUUAGUUUUCAGGUUGCCAAGUGCCUAAAUUGAAGUUUAUACAUUUAAUUUUAAGAUUCUAACGAAUAAACGGGGGGCUUAUUUCAAUAUAGGCCGUUGUUUGUAAUUGUUAAUUAUGCGCCUCCACCCGACUUUUAAGCCGCCACGCGUCGCCCUUUAUGGUGCGUCUCUGUCGCGCUUAUACAUAUACGUACUUAUGCGAAAAAUUUCCAACAAAUACUUGACAUUUAUUAAAAUUUGAAAAUUUUGGAUUAACCUAGUUUUUUUUUAAUAAUUUAUUUAUUUAUUCCAUUAAUUAUUGCCAAUGGGCUAAUUAAAUACGCCAAUCAUAUAGUGCGAUACGCACCAUAUAGUGUGACUGUAGUGUGCAAACCCGCUACUUUGCAGAAUUUAUUUUAAUAAGACCCACUCUGCAUUUAGAGGUCCUCUCAGGUAGCUGUUGAUUUUCAUUUGUAGCAAAUAUUUAUUAGUCGGUCCAUUUAUAUUCUUUUCGUGCACCCUGUAUAUCCAUUUUCAAUUCUGUAAUGAAAUUAGUGAUGCCUGAUUUAAAUUAGAAAAGUUAUUUCCAUCAUCUCGAAUAAUAUUUAUUGAGAAAAUAUUAUUGCCAUUUUCAUUUUAAACAGUUUAAUUAUUUCCAGUUUUCGUUCUUUCUAAAUAUUUUAUUUCGAAGCAAAAUUAUUUAUCAAGCCAUUAAUUUUUUUUAAUUUUAAAACGUUCAACUUUGUCAAUUUCAAUGAGAGUGUCUUUUUCGUUAUCAGCUAAUACUGACCUUCAAUUAAUUUCUUUUACCUUUAUAAAUACCAUGCUGGUGCCUUUCUGGCUCAUUUUUAUAUUCUUCGCCAAGUAGGUAGCAGCGAGCGCUACAGACCUAAUUGGCACCCAGGAGAAGGGCGUGGCCCUAGCUUUUACACCAUCUGUUUUGGCCCAGAGGAUAUAAUGCCUCCCAGAAAGUAAAUCAAGUAAAUGGUAAAUAGCAGCUCCUCAAGACCCAUGGGUUCGACGAACAUUUAGCCAACUCCGGAGGCAACAACCGAUCUACCAGUACAUCAGACCAGUACAUCAAAACCUGACGCCUCCCGAAGAAGAUCAUGAGGUGUGGAUAACCUAGGACAGCACCGGAAGAAGCCUUCACACCACAAGUUAAGUCUUCCUUAGAAUCUUAUAUUUGCCUGUCAGCAGAGACAGUUUUUUAUAUAAAUUAACUUCAUAAUAACUUCACAAUGAUGUAGAUCCUAAAUUAUAACCAAAGAAAUGAGAAAAUAAAGCAUUUAUACCGAAA